GGUCAGCUGACACAUCCCUGCCAAUCUCCGGCAGACCCUCCCUCCCAGACCCUCCCACCUCCUGGACAGCAUCCAUGUUGAAGCUGCCUUCAACAUGGAUGCUGUCCAGGAAGUAGGAGGGUGUGGGAGGGAGGGUCUGCCGGAGAUUGGCAGGGAUGUGUCAGCUG
rnacentral:miRNA from 1 species